UACGUAGGCAGCGAGCGUUGUUCGGAAUUACUGGGCGUAAAGAGUGUGUAGGCGGUGUUCCCAGUCUGUUGUGAAAUCUCCCGGCUUAACUGGGAGGGUGCAGCGGAAACUAGAAUGCUAGAGGGUGGGAGAGGUAAGCGGAAUUCCUGGUGUAGCGGUGAAAUGCGUAGAUAUCAGGAGGAACACCUGUGGUGUAGACAGCUUACUGGACCACUUCUGACGCUGAGACAGACGAAGCGUGGGGAGCAAACAGG
rnacentral:rRNA from 1 species